AGAGUUUGAUCCUGGCUCAGAACGAACGCUGGCGGCGUGGAUAAGACAUGCAAGUCGAACGCUGAUUUCAGGGUAGCAAUAUUCUGGAGUCGGAGUGGCGCAAGGGUGCGUAACACGUGGGUAAUUUGCCGUGAAGUUGGGGAUAACUCGCUGAAAGGCGAGCUAAUACCGAAUGUGAUCGUUGGGAGGCAUCUUCUGAUGAUUGAAGUUGGGGACCGCAAGGCCUGACGCUUCACGAUAAGCCCGCGGCCUAUCAGCUAGUUGGUGAGGUAACGGCCCACCAAGGCUUAGACGGGUAGCUGGUCUGAGAGGACGACCAGCCACACUGGAACUGAGACACGGUCCAGACACCUACGGGUGGCAGCAGUCGAGAAUUUUUCUCAAUGGGCGCAAGCCUGAAGGAGCGACGCCGCGUGGGGGAUGAAUGGCUUCGGCCCGUAAACCCCUGUCAUUUGCGAACAAACCUUUCCACCUAACACGUGGAAAGCUGAUUGUAGCGAAAGAGGAAGGGACGGCUAACUCUGUGCCAGCAGCCGCGGUAAUACAGAGGUCCCAAGCGUUGUUCGGAUUCACUGGGCGUAAAGGGUGCGUAGGUGGCCGGGUAAGUCUGAUGUGAAAUCUCCGAGCUCAACUCGGAAAUGGCAUUGGAUACUAUUCGGCUCGAGGGUCGGAGGGGAGACUGGAAUUCUCGGUGUAGCAGUGAAAUGCGUAGAUAUCGAGAGGAACACCAGUGGCGAAGGCGAGUCUCUGGACGACUCCUGACACUGAGGCACGAAAGCUAGGGGAGCAAACAGGAUUAGAUACCCUGGUAGUCCUAGCCGUAAACGGUGCGCAUUUGCUGUAAGAGGAAUCGACCCCUUUUGUGGCGAAGCUAACGCGUUAAAUGCGCCGCCUGGGAAGUACGGUCGCAAGAUUAAAACUCAAAGGAAUUGACGG
rnacentral:rRNA from 1 species